rnacentral:lncRNA from 1 species
CCAGGAUUGCUUUUAAUUGGAUGAAUUACACAUAUUUGUAAAACUUUAAACGAAUUUCUUGUUGGCUGAAAAAUCCUAUUUUUUCUUUCUUUUCUGAAAGGAGGUGUCACUCUGUCGCCCAGACUCCAUCUCAAAAAAAUAAAAUAAAAUAAAGCAAAACAACCCAUCAGAACUCACUUUAGAAGCUAAGUUACAGGACACUGCUUAAUACUGUUGGGCGACUUCUUGAGAGAGUGACUUAAUAAGGUCAGACUACUUGGCGAUAAGCUGCUAUGUAACUGUUAUUUCAGGUUUCAUCCAUGGGGACAGCACGACCAAGUCAUUUUGCCACAUUUCUGAUGACUGAGACAUGCAGUUAGUUUUCCGCAUGUACAGAGGUGCGGGCCUGCUAGCUCAGUGACGGAGAGCCCCACUGCCUCGUCAUGAAGCCCCGACACACUCAGUACUUGGCCUUUCGCUCCUUCUUUUAUGUUCUUGGCAGUUACUUCUUCACUGCUCCUGACAUAGCACACAGAAAAAAAAAACCCUUCUACAAACGUUGCCUGGCCUCCCUCUGAGGGCCACAUGGCUCCGCGGGAAUAAAUGCAGGACACUAGGAGUGGGGACGACCCACACCUGAGCCAGGGGCAGCAGCAAAGCAUUUGAGCGGCAAGGGGACAGGGAGACAAGCCAGGAGGGUUCCAUUAGCAGGCAUCUCAUCAAAAAGACAGUGUCAUUUCUGAAACAGGCAUCACGUCUCUGACGAGUUUAUACGCCAGCUACCGCACAGACCCCAAGCACCUCACAGAGCCAGGCUUGCUCAUCCACAGAGGAGAAUGAAAACGUAUCACACCCACCACCUUCCCCCUUUGUAAAACCAACGAACUUUCACUAUCGUUUUCACCAGACUGACGUGUUCAGGUCAUGGAGAAAAGGAACAGGACUGCCUGUUUUUAAUGAAAGCUGACUUAGGCCUGGAACUAAGUUAAGCACUUUAUACAGGUAUCUCUUCACCUCAGUUUACAUUAGGGGCCAAUUUUUUCAAAGCAAUAAAUGAAAUAACAUGAGAAACCAUGUCUGGCAUUUCAGAGAUGACGAGCAUACUUAGACAUACCCAGGAAAAGCGGAGGGUGUGCCCUGGCGGCUGAGCCUGCAGCCCGGGGGUGUGAGUGAGGGUGUGCCCUGGCGGCUGAGCCUGCAGCCCGGGGGUGCGUCUCAGGGCCAUCGCCUGGAGGUGCAUCCACACACACCGUCUCACUCCAUUUUUUCCUAACACGGUGAAAAUCAGCAUCUCUGUGUAUUAGCACAAGGAGGUGACAAUGUGAAAAACCCAUAAUCUCUCCAGUGUCAGGGGCACUAUCAUAAAAUGCCUAAGUUAGGAGAGUAAGUUUUAAAUUUUUGCCCCGUAACAAAAAAAUCACACAGGGUUCCCUGAACCCUUUUUAAUGCAAAGUCUGUGCAUCUUGAGUGAAAGGGGUUCCCUUCUUUUGAGGAUCCCUUUAAGUGGGUGCUACCUAAGACUGCAGGUCCACGGUCUCAAAUAAUUCUCUUCUUUCCUCCAAACCAAGAAGUCACGAAUAACCUAAAUUAAAAAUAAAUGUUCACUGCAUCAAAUGUGUAGCCAACAAUUUGGUGCCAGGCACCGUGCCUCACGCCUGUAAUCCCAGCACUUUGGAAGGCCGAGAUGGGCGGAUCACUUGAGGUCACGAGUUCAAGACCAGCCUGGCCAACAUGGUGAAACCCUCUCUCUACUGAAAAUACAAAAUUAGCCUGGCAUGGUGGCGGGUGCCUGUAAUCCCUGCUACUCAGGAGACUGAGGCAGGAGAAUCACUUGAACCCGGGAGGUGGAGGUUGCAGUGAGCCAAGAUCACUCCAUUGCACUCUACUAGCCUGGGCAACAAGAGCGAAACUCCAAUUCAAAAAAAAAAAAAAAAAAGUGCUGGGAUUACAGGCGUGCCACCACACCCAGCCCUAGGGUUUCAAUUACUUAGAACACAAAAGAUGAACUACAAAUAAUUCAUCUAAUAAACCUUUUAAAUUUUUAGCAAAAAAAAUUAUUUCCAUUUUAAAAUAAAACAUUUAUUAAUUAAUUAUUUCUUGGAAUACCUUUUAGGCAGGCUUACAUCAAUGUAUUACAACUUGAAACCAAA